UACGUAGGGGGCAAGCGUUGUCCGGAUUUAUUGGGCGUAAAGAGCGUGUAGGCGGUUUGGUAGGUCCGCUGUGAAAACUCGAGCUCAACUUCGAGACGCCGGUGGAAACCAUCAGACUAGAGUCCGGAAGAGGAGAGUGGAAUUCCGUGGUGUAGCGGUGAAAUGCGCAGAUAUCAGGAAGAACACCCGUGGCUAAGGCGGCUCUCUAGUACGGUACUGGACGCUGAGACGCGAAAGCGUCGGGAGCGAACAGG
rnacentral:rRNA from 1 species